UGCUGGAGGUAUCAGAAGUGCGAAUGCUGACAUAAGUAACGAUAAAGCGGGUGAAAAGCCCGCUCGCCGGAAGACCAAGGGUUCCUGUCCAACGUUAAUCGGGGCAGGGUGAGUCGACCCCUAAGGCGAGGCCGAAAGGCGUAGUCGAUGGGAAACGGGUUAAUAUUCCCGUACUUGGUGUUACUGCGAAGGGGGGACGGAGAAGGCUAUGUUGGCCGGGCGACGGUUGUCCCGGUUUAAGCGUGUAGGUGUGUGUUCCAGGUAAAUCCGGUUCACUUUAACACUGAGGCGUGAUGACGAGGCACUACGGUGCUGAAGCAACAAAUGCCCUGCUUCCAGGAAAAGCCUCUAAGCAUCAGGUAACACGAAAUCGUACCCCAAACCGACACAGGUGGUCAGGUAGAGAAUACCAAGGCGCUUGAGAGAACUCGGGUGAAGGAACUAGGCAAAAUGGUGCCGUAACUUCGGGAGAAGGCACGCUGACACGUAGGUGAAGUGAUUUACUCAUGGAGCUGAAGUCAGUCGAAGAUACCAGCUGGCUGCAACUGUUUAUUAAAAACACAGCACUGUGCAAACACGAAAGUGGACGUAUACGGUGUGACGCCUGCCCGGUGCCGGAAGGUUAAUUGAUGGGGUCAGCGCAAGCGAAGCUCCUGAUCGAAGCCCCGGUAAACGGCGGCCGUAACUAUAACGGUCCUAAGGUAGCGAAAUUCCUUGUCGGGUAAGUUCCGACCUGCACGAAUGGCGUAAUGAUGGCCAGGCUGUCUCCACCCGAGACUCAGUGAAAUUGAACUCGCUGUGAAGAUGCAGUGUACCCGCGGCAAGACGGAAAGACCCCGUGAACCUUUACUAUAGCUUGACACUGAACAUUGAGCCUUGAUGUGUAGGAUAGGUGGGAGGCUUUGAAGUGUGGACGCCAGUCUGCAUGGAGCCGACCUUGAAAUACCACCCUUUAAUGUUUGAUGUUCUAACGUGGACCCGUAAUCCGGGUUGCGGACAGUGUCUGGUGGGUAGUUUGACUGGGGCGGUCUCCUCCUAAAGAGUAACGGAGGAGCACGAAGGUUGGCUAAUCCUGGUCGGACAUCAGGAGGUUAGUGCAAUGGCAUAAGCCAGCUUGACUGCGAGCGUGACGGCGCGAGCAGGUGCGAAAGCAGGUCAUAGUGAUCCGGUGGUUCUGAAUGGAAGGGCCAUCGCUCAACGGAUAAAAGGUACUCCGGGGAUAACAGGCUGAUACCGCCCAAGAGUUCAUAUCGACGGCGGUGUUUGGCACCUCGAUGUCGGCUCAUCACAUCCUGGGGCUGAAGUAGGUCCCAAGGGUAUGGCUGUUCGCCAUUUAAAGUGGUACGCGAGCUGGGUUUAGAACGUCGUGAGACAGUUCGGUCCCUAUCUGCCGUGGGCGCUGGAGAACUGAGGGGGGCUGCUCCUAGUACGAGAGGACCGGAGUGGACGCAUCACUGGUGUUCGGGUUGUCAUGCCAAUGGCACUGCCCGGUAGCUAAAUGCGGAAGAGAUAAGUGCUGAAAGCAUCUAAGCACGAAACUUGCCCCGAGAUGAGUUCUCCCUGAGACUUAGAGUCUCCUGAAGGAACGUUGAAGACGACGACGUUGAUAGGCCGGGUGUGUAAGCGCAGCGAUGCGUUGAGCUAACCGGUACUAAUGAACCGUGAGGCUUAACCUU
rnacentral:rRNA from 1 species